CCUGGCCUCAAGGGAUCCACCCACCUCGAAUUCCCAAAGUGCUGGGAUCACAGGUGUGAGCCACCGCGGACGACCUAUAAAAACUUUUAUCCCUUUCAUUUUCUCAUAGACUCCCGUUUAAGUUCUUGCUCUGUUUUGGGGGAAAGUGUUUAUUGUUUGAUUUUCUAAUAACGAAAACAUUAGAGUAGCUUCAUUUAUGCUGCCUGUUUCAAGCCAAUACACUGCUCAGUUGUGUUUGUGUAUUUGAAAAGUCCCCUGAUAGGAACUUUCUGAGGGGUGCCUGUGUUGUUGGCACAUUUGAGAACUAGACAAAAUCUAACUCUGUGUCUUUUUUCUUUCUUUUUCCCCUAUUAUUUGGUUUUGUUUUUUUAACAACCCCUCUGGAGUGUGUUUUGGUUCAUGGGAUCAGGCCACGUGCCCUGGUUUUCGAGGUAUAGCCUUGGCUUUCUUGGGUCGGGUCUAAUAACCCUGACCUUGGACUUCCCACGUGUCCUUCAAAGAAAGCAAUUAUUUUUGCCUAUUUUCUGAGUAUGAUGGUAUUCUCCAUUUGAUUUAACAAAAAAAUUCUUCCUCUGCUUUAAAAGACUGAAAGCCUCCCUGUAAGGUGCUGAUUGCCUUCCAGAUCUGAGGACCCCGUCUCUGCCUCAUUCCUCCUGUUUCCAUCAGAAGACACAGGUCUGGGACUCAGCGCAGCUGACCUGUCUGUCCCUCUCUGCACAGUUUACUCCUGGGCUCUGCAGAGAGAAGUCAGUGCCUCAAUUUUCCAUUGAAAUAUGCACCCUUGGCAUCCUGGCAGCCCACCCUGCUUGACGAGGUCAUCACUGGUGCUUAGGAGUAAACUGGAAUGGCAGACAGAGCCCAGUGGAUAUUGCAGAGGAACAGAAGGAAAAAGAUGUGCAUGACGCCUCAGUGCUUGCAGCAUUAAAGCAAAAAAAAAAAAAA
rnacentral:lncRNA from 1 species